UGAGAGUUUGAUCCUGGCUCAGAUUGAACGCUGGCGGCAGGCUUAACACAUGCAAGUCGAGCGGAGAUGAGGUGCUUGCACCUUAUCUUAGCGGCGGACGGGUGAGUAAUGCUUAGGAAUCUGCCUAUUAGUGGGGGACAACAUUCCGAAAGGAAUGCUAAUACCGCAUACGUCCUACGGGAGAAAGCAGGGGAUCUUCGGACCUUGCGCUAAUAGAUGAGCCUAAGUCGGAUUAGCUAGUUGGUGGGGUAAAGGCCUACCAAGGCGACGAUCUGUAGCGGGUCUGAGAGGAUGAUCCGCCACACUGGGACUGAGACACGGCCCAGACUCCUACGGGAGGCAGCAGUGGGGAAUAUUGGACAAUGGGGGGAACCCUGAUCCAGCCAUGCCGCGUGUGUGAAGAAGGCCUUAUGGUUGUAAAGCACUUUAAGCGAGGAGGAGGCUACUGAGACUAAUACUCUUGGGUAGUGGACGUUACUCGCAGAAUAAGCACCGGCUAACUCUGUGCCAGCAGCCGCGGUAAUACAGAGGGUGCGAGCGUUAAUCGGAUUUACUGGGCGUAAAGCGUGCGUAGGCGGCUUUUUAAGUCGGAUGUGAAAUCCCCGAGCUUAACUUGGGAAUUGCAUUCGAUACUGGGAAGCUAGAGUAUGGGAGAGGAUGGUAGAAUUCCAGGUGUAGCGGUGAAAUGCGUAGAGAUCUGGAGGAAUACCGAUGGCGAAGGCAGCCAUCUGGCCUAAUACUGACGCUGAGGUACGAAAGCAUGGGGAGCAAACAGGAUUAGAUACCCUGGUAGUCCAUGCCGUAAACGAU
rnacentral:rRNA from 1 species